GCCCGGUGAAAUGCGUUAAAACCGACAUACCGUCUGAUAGAGACACGAAAAUGGCAUGUUGAAGGAAAUGGGUGGCUUCUAACAAUGUAGGUGUGCGCCGUCGCCUGAGCAGAGAGCGCAAACACGGUGCUUCAACCGCUGCUUGCACUAAAACUAAUAUAGAUACUAUACAGUUAUUUAGGUAUUUUUAUAGAUGUAUAAGGAAACAGAGCAUGAAAAUGCAGGCUAACCUGCAUAAAAGAGCAGACAUGAAAAAGUCUUCUUGAUGGAUGGCUACUGAUGAAUCAGAACGCUAAAGCAUUUAGAUCUGGAGUUCUGAGCAUGUCUAUAUGUAAGAGAAGAUCAUCCCAAGUGCUCUGAACUGGU